UGAUAAAACACUUCAAUGGGCCUUUGAAGGCAACCCUAAUUUUCCCUUUGAGAACACGAAUUUUCCUUUUGGCCCUAAAAUUUCACCAAAAGAAACAAGAUCAGAGACCAUAAUGAGAUACAAUAAAUCAAAUACAAACAAUAAGAAACUGCUCGGAAAAGACCGACAGAGAGAGAGAGAGAGAGACUCUGUCCAAACCAAGAAAAAAAGAGACAAAGAAGGGGAAACUCACCUCAGUUUUCUUCUUCUACUUCUGGUUUUAUGAGAAAUAAUAAGGGAGGGAGGAAGAGAGGAUACGUCUUUAAAGUGUGGGGUUCAAAACCCUAAAAACACAAUGGUGUUUCAGUAGAGAGAGGAAGUUUAGCAUAGAAAGAGCGAAAUGAGUUGAGAUUUCCGGGUAGAGAGGGAAGAAGCCCUACAAGAACCAGGGCCGGGUUAGGUUUCGAUGUCUUGGGGCAGGGCAGCAGCGUUACCUGCCCUUCAGGGCUCUGAAAAUAGAAAUUGUACCGUGAAAAUAGAAAUUGUACGGAUAAUGAAGCAAGUCACCGGUGAUUCACACGGUCCACAUUAACUUUUGGAUUCUCAUCUGGAGAGUUCUGAUCGUACAUUAGAUUCUCAUCUCAAGGGUCUAAAUCAUACGGUUGACAACGCGCAAGCGGUCCACAAAUUGUCCAUACGGUGUUGUUGUUUCUCGAGUAAAAGGACCCCCUGACCUGACCAGUGACCACGAGUUGACGGUGCAAGACCAUGUAUUGAGGUCUCGCGGGAUCGCCUAAGAGGCGCUCAACAGAUAAAGGUGAAGAACUCCUCAUUUCAAAGGCAGUUACAACAAUUCCUUCCCUCCAAGCAAUGGAUCUUCGCCUGAAAAAAAACACAUAAUGUUUACACGCUGUAUACAAUCCAGAGAGAGACAGAUACCACGUUCUUCUCGACUGAAAGUUAAUCAAGAUAUAGAUAGAGAAUAUAUGUUCGCGUGGUCCCGCCUAGAAAACCACGUGAAUUUCACUCAAAGCUAGAGGGAGAGGAACCACUUAUUCCUCCAUUGAUAGAGAGGGGAAACCACGUCUCACUGCCCUGCCCUGCCCUGCACGUUAUUGAGAGAAACAUGUUAUCCUCCACAGCAAAUUUCUCUUCGAUUCUCGCCCCCAAAUU
rnacentral:lncRNA from 1 species